rnacentral:rRNA from 1 species
CAGCCGCCGCGGUAAAACGGAGGGCGCGAGCGUUACCCGGAUUUACUGGGCGUAAAGGGCGUGUAGGCGGCCUGGGGCGUCCCAUGUGAAAGGCCACGGCUCAACCGUGGAGGAGCGUGGGAUACGGUCAGGCUAGAGGGUGGGAGAGGGUGGUGGAAUUCCCGGUGUAGCGGUGAAAUGCGCAGAUACCGGGAGGAACGCCGAUGGCGAAGACAGCCACCUGGUCCACUUCUGACGCUGAGGCGCGAAAGCGUGGGGAGCAAACCGGAUUAGAUACCCCCGUAGUCCCUGUCUCUUAUAC